CUUGCAGAGGCCGCGAGGGAGCCGCGAGCUGCGGUCGCUCCCGCGCCGAGCCAGAGCGCCGACAUGGCAAUGGGAAAAGUCAGCACCUUUUCCCUGGAGCAGGUCAGCCACCUCGCGUCUCCCGCACUUGUACCAGCCAGCUGGUGGCACAAAAAUAAACGUUUGGCCGGCCAGCUUGGCGUGAAUUUUAUGAAAUCUGCUGCAGGGAAUCGGAAUCACUUUUACUCCUGAACAACCAGUCGGGUUCAAGUCCUUUGGGAAGAGCAGGCAGCCCACACGAAGAGACGACCCCGGUUUCAUUUCUCCCGUCGCGGCUGAUGACCCAGUGCCCCCGCGUCCCCUGCGAGCCCGGCGCCCGGUUCUCUCCAGGAGACCUCCGGCUCUCUCGGCCUCUGCGCCCGCCCCUGGGCCUCCAGACUUGCACCUUAUUGGGGCUCCCUUGGGAGAGGGCCCCCAGUCCCCCAAAGCGAAAGGAUGGCCUUCCCUAUUGCCUGAGUGGCUAUAGCAAUACGGAUUCCAGGACAUCUCAGGGGGCCGAGCGGGACGCGGCGUUUGUACAGCGCGAGCCGGGCCGCUGAGAGUUCACCGUGGACGCGGACACGGCUGGAAGGGAUGCGGCGAGCGUGGGAGGCUCCGAAACCCCAGCGGUUCCGGAUAAGCCAGAAAUGAACACGUUUCCUGGUGAUGCAAUGACGCCACACAGAAUCAGACUAAGGACUGAGCGGCAAGUGUGAGCAGCAGCUGGCUCGUUGGUCUAGGGGUAUGAUUCUCGCUUUGGGUGCGAGAGGUCCCGGGUUCAAAUCCCGGACGAGCCCAGUUU